GAUGAAGAACGUAGCGAAAUGCGAUAAGUAGUGUGAAUUGCAGAAUUCAGUGAAUCAUCGAAUCUUUGAACGCACAUUGCGCCCCUCGGUAUUCCGUGGGGCAUGCCUGUUCGAGCGUCAUUUACACCCUCAAGCUAUGCUUGGUGUUGGGCGUCUGUCCCGCCUUCGUGCGCGGACUCGCCUCAAAGUCAUUGGCAGCGGUCUCGUCGGCUUCUCGCGCAGCACAUUUGCGCUUCUCGGAGCCCCGGCGGAUCAGCGUCCAGCAAGCGAUUUCAUGACUUGACCUCGGAUCAGGUAGGGAUACCCGCUGAACUUAAGCAUAUCAAUAAGCGGAGGA
rnacentral:misc_RNA from 1 species